rnacentral:rRNA from 1 species
GAUGAACGCUAGCGGCAGGCUUAAUACAUGCAAGUCGUGGGGCAGCGCAGUGUAGCAAUACAUGGGCGGCGACCGGCAAACGGGUGCGGAACACGUACGCAACCUUCCUUUAAGUGGGGGAUAGCCCAGGGAAACUUGGAUUAAUACCCCGUAAUACUAUGAAGUGGCAUCACUUUAUAAUUAUAGCUCCGGCGCUUAAAGAUGGGCGUGCGCCUGAUUAGGUAGUUGGCGGGGUAACGGGCCCACCCAAGCCUUCGAUCAGUAACUGGUGUGAGAGCACGACCAGUCACACGGGCACUGAGACACGGGCCCGACUCCUACGGGAGGCAGCAGUAAGGAAUAUUGGUCAAUGGACGCAAGUCUGAACCAGCCAUGCCGCGUGGAGGAUGAAGGUCCUCUGGAUUGUAAACUUCUUUUAUUUGGGAAGAAACCCACGAUUUCUAUUGUGGUUGACGGUACCAGAUGAAUAAGCACCGGCUAACUCCGUGCCAGCAGCCG